rnacentral:rRNA from 1 species
UUGAUCCUGCGGAAGAUUGCUGCUAUCGGGGUUCGACUAAGACAUGCAAGUCUGGGGACUUCGGUCACCGGCAAAAUGCUCAGGAGCACGUCGAUAACUUGCCUUUAGGUAUGGAAUAACCUCGGGAAACUGAGGAUAAUACCGUAUAGGGGAAUUGUACUGGAACGUCUUUUCCUUCAAAACUUCGGUGCCUAAAGAUAGGUCGGCGGCGGAUUAGGUUGUUGGCGGGGUAAUGGCCCACCAAGCCUCAGAUCCGUAAGGGCCUUGAGAGAGGUAGCCCUGAGAGGGACACUGAGAUACUGGUCCCAGCCCUACGGGGUGCAGCAGUCGCGAAACCUUUACAAUGCACGAAAGUGUGAUAAGGGAAUCCCGAUGCUCAUGUUAUGCAUGGGCUUUUGCCAAGAGUAAAUAUCUUGGCGAAUAAGUGGUGGGUAAGACGGGUGCCAGCCGCCGCGGUAACACCUGCGCCACGAGUGGGAUCGCGUUUAUUGGGCCUAAAGCGUUCGUAGCCGGUUUUGUAAAUUUUCUGUGAAAUCGACCAGCUUAACUGGUCGGCGUGCAGAAAACACUGCAAGACUAGGAACCAGGAGGAGUCAGAAGUAUUCUUGGGGGAGCGGUAAAAUGCUAUAAUCCCUAGAGGACUACCUAUGGCGAAGGCAUCUGACUAGAAUGGAUUCGACGGUGAGGGACGAAAGCUAGGGGAGCGAUCCGGAUUAGAUACCCGAGUAGUCCUAGCCCUAAACGUUGUGAGCAAGGUGUUGCACAUUCAUCAGGAAUGUGCAGUGUCGAAACGAAGGUGUUAAGCUCACCGCCUGGGAAGUACGGUCGCAAGGCUGAAACUUAAAGGAAUUGGCGGGGGAGCACUACAAGGGGUGCGGCGUGCGGUUUAAUCUAACUCUACGCAGAGAACCUCACCAGCAGCGACGGCAGGAUGAAGGUCACAUUAAAGGUGUUACCUGACGAGCCGAGAGGUGGUGCAUGGCCGUCGUCAGCUCGUGCCGUAAGGUGUCCUGUUAAGUCAGGCAACGAGCGAGACCUGUACUUAUAAUUGCUAGCAGCAUCAUCGAUGGACUGAGCACAUUAUGAGGACUGCCUUGGAAACGAGGAGGAAGGUGCAGGCUACGAUAGGUCUGUAUGCCCCGAAUCUGCUGGGCUACACGCGCGCAACAAUGGUAAGGACAAUGGGAUGCAACUCCGAAAGGAGGAGCUAAACCUCGAAACCUUAUCUUAGUACGGAUUGAGGGUUGCAACUCACCCUCAUGACGCUGGAAUCCCUAGUAAUCGGACGUCAUCAUCGUCCGGUGAAUGUGUCCCUGCUCCUUGCACACACCGCCCGUCAAACCAACCGAGCAGGGCUUGGGUAAGACGUAAUUUCUUGAUUACUUCGAAUCUAAGCUCAGUGAGGUGGGUUAAGUCGUCACAAGGUA